GGGCGGAUGGCGGAAUAGCAUACGCGAUAGCCUUAGGAGCUAUUGGGGAAACCCUUGGAGGUGCAAAUCCUCUUCCGCCCA
rfam:Omnitrophica WOR_2 bacterium RIFCSPLOWO2_01_FTLL_41_12 rifcsplowo2_01_scaffold_2841, whole genome shotgun sequence.